rnacentral:rRNA from 1 species
UACAGAGGUCUCAAGCGUUGUUCGGAUUCAUUGGGCGUAAAGGGUGCGUAGGCGGCGCGGUAAGUCGGGUGUGAAAUCUUGGAGCUUAACUCCGAAACUGCAUUCGAUACUGCCGUGCUUGAGGACUGGAGAGGAGACUGGAAUUUACGGUGUAGCGGUGAAAUGCGUAGAUAUCAGGAGGAACACCGAUGGCGAAGGCAGUGUUCUGGGCCAGUACUGACGCUGAGGAGCGAAAGCGUGGGGAGCAAACAGG